UCUUUCCUGUGAAAUCGGCGUCUAGGUUACCAACUUAUUUACGGUAAUGCCACCGUCCACUCAUAUACGUUGGGCUACACUCUCACCGACGUUGUAGGGGUGACAUUAAAUGUCGUUUUUUCACUCGUGGUUUUUCCAUGCUAUAUAUAACCCUAGAAUCUAAAUAUAUCUUUCUUUAUCUUGCUACCUAUUUUUUGUUAAUACUUUCUACCAUAUCAUCUUUUCUAUCUUUAAAACAAACACGCUUCUCACUAAACUCCAUAUAGAGAAAUUAUUCACGCUCCACCAGAACCCAAAGCCAAAACAAAUAUGCCCCAAAAACAUUCACGUAUAUUGCAUCCAAAAAGGGGAGAGGAAAAAGAAACCUUAACCUAAUUUCUAUUGGUUAUCACUAUACCCUGGGCCCACCACAAACCCAAUAAAAAAACAAAACGAAAUAAAAAGACAAUCUCUCUUCUACUUCCACGAUAAAAUAAAUGUUUCUCUCACCUGUAUUAAAGUUCCUAUAAAAGAUUUCCAUAAAAAUAUAUUUUGGUCCACUACAAUAAAAAAACAUAAAGAGAGAAUCUUGUCUCAAACAAUUGUACUACUACUCAAACAAUUGUGAUUAUUCUUGUCUCAAUAUACUUCUCUACCACUACAAAGCAUAAAAUACCAUCAUAAAAACAAGAACAUGACAAGAAUCACUAGAAACAACAACACUAAAUUCACAACUCUUUCUUUCUAAAAACCUUCAGAAUUAAGAAAGGAAAAUCAUCUUUGACAUUGAGUCAUGAGUGUGCACCCUCACUAGUUAGAUGCCCAAUUCUGCUAAGAGACUCAGCAACAAUCCACACAUUCAUAUACAUAUGCAUGCAUUAAAGUCACACAACAAAAGCUAGACGAACUCACUCUCCAACAGCCCCAAAAGUUUUUCAAAACCAGGCUCUGAUACCAAAUAUAACACCCCGAUUUUUUAGGAAUGUUACGGUGUAAUUUUUUUUUUCAAAAAUUUUCUUAUACAACAUUUUUUUGUUAUAAAACAUUUAUUUCAAACAAUCAAACUUUAUUUGAUUAAAAUGCGAAAGCAUAAAUAUAAAUAUUGUCUGUUCAAAACGAAAAUAUGAAAUAAUUCCUUUUACAAUAAGGAUACCAAUUCUAAAAAAUUUUAAAUAGAAUAAAUCAUCAUCCC
rnacentral:lncRNA from 1 species